CAGGACUCCUCAGUUCUGCUUCUCACAAUGAGGUUCCCUGCUCAGCUGCUGGGGCUGCUGGUGCUCUGGAUCCCAGGAUCCAGUGGGGAUGUCGUGCUGACGCAGAUCCCAGCGUCCCUGCCGGUCACCCCUGGACAGCCGGCCUCCAUCUCCUGCAGGGCCAGUCAGAGCCUCCUGCACAGCGAUGGAAACACCUAUUUGUAUUGGUUCCUGCAAAAGCCAGGCCAGUCUCCACAGCGCCUGAUCUAUCUGGUUUCCAAAAGGGUCUCCGGGGUCCCAGACAGGUUCAGCGGCAGCGGGUCAGGGACAGAUUUCACCCUGACAAUCAGCAGGGUGGAGGCUGAGGACGUCGGAGUUUAUUACUGCAUGCAGGCUACACACGAGCCUCCCACAGUGGUUCAGCCCCGAACACAAACCUCUCUGUCUGGCGCGUCACCACCCUCCACACGUGUUGCCUGA